UUAUGAGUCAACCUGUGGUUGCUGUGAUUUGAACUCAGGACCUUCAGAAGUGCAGCCAGCAGGCUCUUGAGCCCCUCAGUCCUCUUCCGGGUUACUCUCAGGUGCCUAAGGAAAAACGGAGCCCACAAGUGGCAUUCACGAAACUGCACUAUGACACCAGUGCCCUCGCCCUGCCCCCCACCUUCAUGCCUGCCAGAAGUCCCGCAGCCACUUUUGGAACCAGGAUGGGAACCAGUUGCAACCCCAGGCCAGCUCCAUCAGCGCCAGCAGCACUGCAAGGUCUUCAAGGUCUUGUCAUCCUCCGCGUGCCUCCCGGUGUUCGGGCGCAGGAGGGGGCGCGGAGAGGCAGUGCGCAGGCUGGAUCAGGGGUCGCAUGGUGCGGUGUCGCGAGUUCGUGAGUGGUGGAGUCGGGAGACACGGGGUCACGAGUGGCAGGUUCACGGUUAGAGAAGUCAAGGGUAGCGAGGUCGGGGCUUUCAGGGUGCGGUAUCACGGGGCCACGGGUGAUCGGGUCCUGAUUGGCCAGCACCCAGUCAGGCAGCGCGAACUGCGCAUCGGGAUCUUUGGGAUCUUUGCGCAGGCGGAGAAACUGCUGGUCCACCUUCAUCUGCAGCUGCGGUGGCUUCCCGGGCGGCGUGGCUGGUGGCGGAGAGGCGGGACUGGCCGACAGACGGGCCCGAGGACCCGGGACACGCCCACAGACACAAGGAUGGACGCGAGGACCACUACACAACGGAUGAUAGCAGGGGAUUAAAACCCGCGCUCUGGCAUUAAGGACUUAUUUCGGCGCUGAGUGAUGACAUCACAAGGCUGCGACCAAAACAAAACAGCGCGCCGAGUGAUGACGAUAGGAAUGUGACUAAAAGAAGGUGAUAGAGAUAUCAAAGUGACCAGCUCACACAGUGGCAAAGGCGGGCGCGCAGCGACUGCGUCACAAAGCGCGACCACAACAAAGAGGCGGUGCUGACGGACCUGGGCCUAGGUAUGAAAGCCACCCCGCGGUUACACGGCAGCACGUGGCUAUUGUGUCAUGCGUCGCGGGGUCCAAACCAACCCUGGGACCGCUCUGUGAUUGCGUCAUCGCCAACCGCAAGGAUAACAAGGUGGCUGCUGUCAAGUCAACGGUUUCAAAACAGGCUCGGCUGCCACGGAAUCCAAUUCCGGCGAGCGGUGAUGGCGUGACCGGCCGCGACCAAAACAAGGUGGUCGCGCAGAUGAACAAGGCCUGUGUGGAGAACGUCAGGAGCCACAGCGGGAACGACACAAACGACUGGGUAGGCCCGCCGGCCGUGAUACUUGGGUGGCCUGUGACAGCAUGGACUUGCUUCAUCACACAGCAACCACUAGCGGGGAUGCUGUCCAGUCCAGCGGAGUAACCGCACAGUCUCGGGGCCUCGGAAGCGCUGAGAAGGAUGGUGGGACUGAGGGGAAAAGAAGGAGGCCUGUACGCACGCGCACUGCCAAGCUCAAAGGCCUUUCCCGCAUCCAGGCGGACAGGCAUGCGCAGUAUUACCCACUCGCUGAUGGGACAGGAAACACAUGCGCACUGGGGUUUCCUUUCUGCUGUCAGUCAGUGUUACAGAGGGUGGGACUCGGCUCCUGUCACUCAACCCUGUCAGUCACCGUGACGGAGGGCGGGACCUGGCUCCUGUCCUAUUUCAAAUGAAAAAUGAAAAGGGGCCAACUGGUUGAUCUCAUUAUAUCAUUUAAUUUUAAAAAAGUCUGCUGGUGUAUAGAAAUUCCUCUGUUCUAUGCACUUGUUAAAACUACAGGCACGUAUUUACAAGUUACUCAUGUUUUAAUAAAAAGAAAAAACCCUCCCUUUGUCAGUUGAACUCCUUUUCGUUAAAGGAAGAAAACAUAAAAGUUAAAACAUCAACCUGCUCUUAAAUGCUUAUAAUUUUAAUAAAAGAGACAACUGGUCAACCCCA